rnacentral:lncRNA from 1 species
CAAAAAAGGUUAACCAAUACCGAGCAGGCAUGUAGGAAGUUUGUGUGCAAAAACAAAUUCAGAGACAUGACUUUGACAUGUAAUUGAAGCUUCUCUACCAUGUAUUCUAAUGCAAUUAUAAUUUCUCCUAAGUUUCUUUGUGCUUUUUUCUCAUUUUUGUGUAUGAGAGAUCUUGGAUUAUUGUUUUUUUUGGUCGAAGAUGGUUGUGUUUUGAUGAUUGUGCGUGGAAGAUGAUGUUUAGGGAAGAAAAUGAUUGAUGAGUGUAUUUUUUAUUGAGAUAAUGGUUGAGGAUUACUGAGAAUAAAUGAUGGAUGAAAG